rnacentral:misc_RNA from 1 species
GAUGAAGAACGUAGCGAAAUGCGAUAAGUAGUGUGAAUUGCAGAAUUUAGUGAAUCAUCGAAUCUUUGAACGCACAUUGCGCCCCUUGGUAUCCCGAGGGGCAUGCCUGUUCGAGCGUCAUUUCACCACUCAAGCCUGGCUUGGUGUUGGGCGACGUCCUCUUUGGGGACGCGCCUCGAAACGCUCGGCGGCGUGGCACCGGCUUUAAGCGUAGCAGAAUCUUUCGCUUUGGAAGUCGGGGCCCCGUCUGCCGGAAGACCUGCUCGCAAGGUUGACCUCGGAUCAGGCAGGGAUACCCGCUGAACUUAAGCAUAUCAAUAAGCGGAGGA